UCCAGCUGCAGUCUCCCUCUCACUCUCAGCGACAUUGCUGAACGCUUUCUCCUCCAUCUCCUCCCCUGUCAAGUGAAGAUUGUUUGCGAUGUAACCAGGAGAGGAAUUAGGGACUACCUUCCUUCAAUUGGUGUGGUAUCUAAGAUACCUAUCCUCUUCACUCUCUCAUGAUAUUGACUGGGUCCCGCUGUGCAAGCUUUCGUUGUUCUGCUGCUGCCAAUUUUCGGGGUGCUUCACUCUUUAGGAUCGUCAUCAGCUCGGCCUGAGAGGGCUGCUUCUAAGCUUCUUUGCUUUGAGGUU
rnacentral:lncRNA from 1 species